AUUGAACGCUGGCGGCAGGCUUAACACAUGCAAGUCGAGCGGUAACAGGUCCUUCGGGAUGCUGACGAGCGGCGGACGGGUGAGUAAUGCCUAGGAAAUUGCCUUGAUGUGGGGGAUAACCAUUGGAAACGAUGGCUAAUACCGCAUAAUGCCUACGGGCCAAAGAGGGGGACCUUCGGGCCUCUCGCGUCAAGAUAUGCCAAGGUGGGAUUAGCUAGUUGGUGAGGUAAUGGCUCACCAAGGCGACGAUCCCUAGCUGGUCUGAGAGGAUGAUCAGCCACACUGGAACUGAGACACGGUCCAG
rnacentral:rRNA from 1 species